AUAUUUGUGGUACAACUGAGAACAAUAUGUUAAUAUCUUCCAAACCUAGUAAAGUUAGAUGGAAUCCAAGCUUCCAAACGUAUUAAAGUUAGAUGGAAAUUCCAGUCUACCCUGACAAGAAUUCUUCAUAUUUUCUAACUGCUUGAAUCUUCAACCAACUUUAUUAGGGUUAUAGGGAUACCACCAUCUAUGAUAUCAGCUCAGAACUAAGGGUAGUGCAGCAUAUUAUUAUCCAGAUAGGGAUCUCUUAAAGAACUGAGGACUGACUCUGUACAUCUAUAGUAAUUACUUCAAUAUCUAUCCCAAACAGUAGAGAAAUAGGAUUUAAUAAACAAAGCCAUGAAAAAUUGGGCAUUCCUACAUGAAGAUGGAAUGCUUUAUUGACACUAUAAUCCCAUAUCCAUUUUUAUUCUACUAUUGAUUCCUUUAAAUUCCCAUUCUAAUAUGUCUAUAUAUUUCUCCAAUAUCCUUAUAUAUGAUUAUCUGGACACACACAAACACAUAUUACAUGAAUAUGUCAUUUGUAUGUUAACUUUAUUUAAGUAUACUAAACAUUUUUUAUGUGUGGUUCACAGAGCUAUAGAUAAUGACUUGCCUUCAUCACUGUCAAAAAAUGAUCAUAAGCAUCAGAAAUAUCUCAUAUCCAAAAUCGAUUGUGGUCAAGAAAUGGAAAACAGCAAGGCAAACUUGACUACUAACAAAGAUGCAUUCCAGCUUAAACUGGAGGAAACGCAGAAACUCCUAGAAGAUCAGCAUCUAAGCAGUUUGCAAAAAUUUCAUGAUGAAGUUAAUCAGAUAAUAAAUUCUGAAACCCUCUCAAGUGUAGACAGUCUUGAGGCUGGGGAAUGUGAAGAAAUAUAUUUAACACUUAAUAAGGAGCCUUCCACAUCAGUCCAGCAGCAGAAUUCUGUUUCCCUCAAAUCAGCAAAUCUGCAAUCAACUAACCUAAGCUGCUUUGAUGAAGAUAAAAUGUCAUUCUCUAAAACUCAACACAUAAAUAAUUGGCUUAUAAAUAUAGAUGAUCCAAAUAUUUUCUCAGAUAUUUUUAGUAAACCUGAUGUUCUCCCUGAUUCAAGUGAAUGUUUUGAUAGUAAAGAACAAAAUCCAUCUGCUCUGAGUAGAACCGUGGAAAGAGCCAUAAAUACUGCUAAUAAUUCAGUAGCCAUUCUACAUAGUCCAUCCAUAUUUGUACAAGAUAAGAAAAGCAAAAACACAUCUGAAACUAGUGUUAUAAGGACAACUGACUCCUCUUCUGGAACAUUCAAACGGGAGAAACCAUUAGUUACUGAGAGCCCAAAAUUUAAAUUCAGCAAAGCCUGGGCCACUCCAGAUUCUCUAACCCAGGAAAUCACAAUAAUUUCAGACCAAGAGAAAUAUUCUGAAAUGACUCAAGAAAAUAGAACUACUUCAGUUCCUACUUCAUUUGUACCUUUGGCAACCCCUUUAGUUUUGCCAUCGAAUACACAAUCAGCUAGGCCUUUACCAAAGAGCAGUAUACACAUAAAGGAAAUUGACCCAGUGCAGUGUUCUGAUAAGUUAGGGGAAAUAAAAGACAUUAAAGAUGAAAAGACAAAAUAUUUUAAUUGUAAUGAGGAAGAGUUGUCUUUAUUUUCAGAUAAUUUUCAAGUCGCCUGUAUACUUCAUAACUCUGAUUCAAAAGAUAAAAAACAGAAAAUAACUGAAGCAUCAAAAUCAUUAUCUAAUAUAAUUUCUAAUUGUGACUUAGUCAGUCAGCACAAGAAAAUAAAAUACAAUAUUUGUGAGAAGAAUAGUGUGAGAUUUCUUAAAAGUAUUUUAAAGAAAGAAUCUAAAUACGAGCAUGAUUAUUUUAAGGCACUGGUUACAAGCCAAGGCUUUAAGUUAGGAAAUCAAAAAGCAGCAGAUAUCAGAGAUAGUAUUGAAUUAACAAAAGAAAAAGGGAAAAGUGCAGAAACUCCAAAAACUAUUAAAAAACUGAGAUGGUUUGAUGAAACUGGCAAUACAUGGAAAAAUGCUGAAGAUAGUCAUUUGCUGAAGAGUAGAAAAAGAAUAUCUCAACAGUGGUCUCAACCAUUCCACAUUCAAGCUAAAAGUGGUGCUGCCAGCAACAUGCCUAGUAUUCCUGCUUCUGCUGUGGAUUCUGCUAAUAAAAAAGAGCCCAAGGACGAUUUUAUCUCUGAAAAUGUCACUGCUUUAGGAGGAUCUGGAAUAGACCAUGUGCCUUUGAACUGUUUUAUAUCUUCAGGUUAUAACACUGCUAAACAAGCCUGGCCAGACUCCACAGAGGAGGAAAGUAUAUCCCCUGUAAAGAGUGGUGGUUCCAAAACUCAGAAAAGUAGUCCACAAAGGAGUGAAGUGAAAGUCAGAAGAACAAGAUCCGCUAAAGUCCAGUCAGGCUUUGUAUGUAUGAACAGAAAAGGCACUGUUAUUCGACCACAGUCUGCGAGCAAAGCCAACACAUUUGCACAAGCUCAGGGUAAAUUAAUUGUACCUCAUCCUCCUCCUACAUCUCAAUUAAAUAUUAGAAGUUGUAAAAAUAUACAGGCAUCUCAGUGUCAGCCUGUAAUGCCUGAAAAUUCUCAAAACAUCAGUACAUGUAACUACUUUAAUUCAAAACAUAUGCUUCCAACAGAAUACAAGUUGAAUCAGUGGAAUCAAGAAAGUAGUCUUCCACUCCCUCAUGUCUGUUCUGACUUAGUCACUGUGAUGCCAACUCUACCAUAUUGUUCUUCAGAGUGCCAAACGUUAACGAAAAUAAAUCAUUCACAUGGCAGGCAAACUGUUGCCCCACAAGAUGGGACAUUAUAUUGCCCCCAAAGAUGUCCAACAUAUGAAGAAACUCAUCCCUCUGUGACUCUUAAAACUACUAGAGAAGAACUGGUUCCCUUGUGGAAAAGACAGCAUAAUAUUCUGGGUCAAAAUGAAAAGGCUGCUGAUUCUAGUGUUACAAGAAGAAAACGAAGUGUCAAAAAUAAGCACAAAAGUCUUUUAGAGCAAAAAAGACAAAACCCUGGAUCUGUAGGACAGAAGUACAGUGAGCAGAUGAAUAAUUUUGGACAAAAUAUCCAGCCAAGUUCAAGUGAGCCAAAACAAACUACAAGGGGUACUUCUAAUAUUGAAGAAGUUUCAGGCAGUACUUCUGAAUUUUUGAUGGCUGAAAAUCUAGUGAAAGCUUCAGUGCCUGAGGAUGAGAUUCUAACUGUCAUGAAUAGCAAGCAGCUACAGCAAACAAAUCUGGAUUUAAAUAAAAUGCAGCAAUUUAACAUCUGUGCACUAUCAGCUGAAGAACAAAAGAUCCUGCAGUCCCUUAAUCAUCUCAAUGAAAGAUUAUACUAUAUACAAGAAACCAUUUGCAAAAAUCCAUCCAUCAAAAGUACUUUACAAAUAAUACCACUUCUGAACAGCCAGCCAAGGACCAGUCCAUCUCCUGAUGUUGGAUCCAGAUCACAGAGAAAAUACUGAUGAGUAUAACAGUAGCUAUUAAAUGGGAUCAUUAUUUUUGAGAAUCUCCUAUAAAUAUAUAUUUAUGUGUUUGUUAAUAAUUAAAAUAAAAUACCAUCAAAUAACA
rnacentral:lncRNA from 1 species